AUUUUUAAGUUGAUUGUUUGUAUCUAAAGUUGUGUGUUAUGAUGAUUGUUGUAUAACUUAAGAAAUUGUUCUAUGUUUCGCUCACUGAGUAUUCUUUACUCACCCCCUUUUUCUCCUUCUUUCCCAGAUGAAAAUGAUGUUGAAUAGCUGCUCAAGUUUGUCUCUCUUCAUGGUGUUCUUUGAGAUUUGAGUUU
rnacentral:sRNA from 1 species